rnacentral:rRNA from 1 species
AUUGAACGCUGGCGGCAGGCCUAACACAUGCAAGUCGGACGAGUGGCGGACGGGUGAGUAAUGUCUGGGGAUCUGCCUGAUGGCGGGGGAUACCUACUGGAAACGGUAGCUAAUACCGCAUCCCAUCAGAUGUGCCCAGAUGGGAUUAGCUUGUUGGUACGGUAACGGCUUACCAAGGCGACGAUCCCUAGCUGGUCUGAGAGGAUGAAAAGCAACACGGGGACGGAGACACGGCCCAGACUCCUACGGGAGGCAGCAGUGGGGAAUAUUGCACAAUGGGCGCAAGCCUGAUGCAGCCAUGCAGCGUGUAUGAAGAAGGCAGUCGGGUUGUAAAGUACUUUCAGCGGGGAGGCGUUACCCACAGAAGAAGCACCGGCUAACUCCGUGCCAGCAGCCGCGGUAAUAC